UAGGAGCACACACACUCUUCUCUCUCACACACAAAGUUUUGUCAUAGGAUAGUUGGUCGCUGUGCUGAAAAUCUUCUAGAAUCUGUUCCUGACCUACGCUCCUAAGCACAGAUCUAGGAUCAGCUCAUCCUCAUCAAGUCCAAACCAGGACAUUAACAAACCACAAGGGGAACACUGACCUCAGACCAGCGUUUAAACCCCACGUCUUCCUGCCAAGACACUGACACUCUGUCCAGAAUUCCUCUGCUCUCCAGCCAUCCAUCCAUCCAUCCAGCCAUCCAUCCAUCCAGCCAUCCAUCCAUCCAUCCACACCCCAGCCAGCCAGCCAUGGGUCUGAUGAGUGAGGACAUGGAGUGCUGUGUCUGCCUCCAGCUCUACUCUCGCAGGGAGAAGAUCCCUCGGAUGCUCCACUGUAAGCACACAUUCUGUGGGUUGUGCUUGCAGGCGAUGUCCAGGCUCCAAAGCGGCCUACUGACAGUCUGCUGCCCCCUGUGCCGUUGGAUCACCUGCACCGAGCCCAGCCUCACCCUGCCGGGGUCGCUGUGGGUUAACACUGAGAUCUGGGACCAGAUACUAGACAGACAACAGGAAGAGGAGGAGGAGGAAGAGGAAGAAGAGUGGAAAGGAGCUAACAGACAGACACAGACCACUACACAGUACACAUGUUCUCCAUCAAGGCAUUUUGGCCUGAGGCUCAAACUACAGAAUUUCCUGAGGAGGAUGAAGCACAAUGUACUGUAAACCAAGAAGACGAAGAGCAGAGAAAGAAGACUGGAUUUUCCUAUUUCAGAGUAGGAUAUACUCAUUGAGUAAUGAAGCUAAUUCAUAAAAUAGGACCAACAGGGGAUGUUCCAUAAUGAAGCAAGAUUGAAUCAAUUAUUCAUAUGCUUUGUGUUUGAUUGACUUUGGGUAUGUGUAAUGUUCUCAGUCAACUUACCUGGUAAAAUAAGGGUUAUAUUAUAGUAUUAAUCAUAAAGGAUGGAUAGGUGGAGGAAAUAAAAAUAAGAUAAUAAAUGGAUUGAGGAAUAAAGAAAGAUAAAGGAAGUUAUGAAUAGACAGACAGACAGACAGAUAGAUAGAUAGGUGAAGGUUAGAGACUGUGUGCUGUACAAUGUGUGCUGUGUACAAUACAAUAUGCUGUGAACAAUGUUUAGAUAGAUAUUUACAUAUUUAUGCUUAUUUAUUUUCCCUUGUGUACUUUAACCAUUUGUACAUUGUUACAACACUGUACACUGUACACAUAUGUAUAAUAUGACAUUUGUAAUGUCUUUAUUGUUUUGAAACUUUUUAUUGGUUAUUUCACUUUUGUAUAUUAUCUACUUCACUUGCUUUGGCAAUGUUAACACAUGUUUCCCCUGCCAAUAAAGCCCCUUGAAUUGGAUAGAUAGGUAGAUAGAUAGAUAGAUGGGUGUAGGUUAGAGACUGUGUGCUGUACAAUGUGUGCUGUGUACAAUACAAUAUGCUGUGAACAAUGUUUAUAAUAGAUGUUUAAUGAUUUGAUAGAAGGUGUAUUACUGCGUGAAGGAAGUGAAGGUUUAGUAUUUAUUAUGACAUCAUUUUAGAACAGCUUCAAUGUUGCAGAUUGUUUCUUUUAUCAAUGUAAUUGUCUGCAUCAUUUCCAGUCCCCCAUCUGUUCUGUUUGAAGAGCAGGUUUUUUAUACUGGAAUUAUAUGUAUUGGUUAAUAAAUACAUCCACUUUAAAAUAACCCUGUCUUAGAGUUGUGAAAUUGCUUAUUGUUACCAUUACAUUAGGAGAGUAACUGUCUAAUAUCCACCUAGUUAUGGACCCCAAAUAGAGUUGGGGGUGUUAAUACACUUCAGAUUGUGUCUGAAAUGGACCCUAUUCAUUAUAGUAUACUACUUUUGACCAGGGCCCAGCUAGUACAGUUAUAGCAUACUACAUUUGACCAAGGCCAGGCAAGUACAGUAUAUAGUAUACUACUAUUGACCAGGGCCCAACUAGUAGAGCAUAUAGUAUACUUCU